rnacentral:rRNA from 1 species
UACGGGGGGAGCAAGCGUUGCUCGGAAUUACUGGGCGUAAAGGGCGCGUAGGCGGGAUGGCAAGUCGGUCGUGAAAUCCCUCGGCUCAACCGAGGAACGUCGAUCGAUACUGCUGUUCUUGAGGAUUGCAGAGGAGACUGGAAUUCUCGGUGUAGCGGUGAAAUGCGUAGAUAUCGAGAGGAACACCUGCGGCGAAGGCGGGUUGCUGGGCUGACACUGACGCUGAGGCGCGAAAGCUAGGGGAGCGAACGGG